rnacentral:lncRNA from 1 species
UUCCAAAAAAGUGCACAAAAUUUAGGGCGAAAUUAUUAAAAUGAAAAGAUAUGUUGAGUAAGAUAAAGACCCUUCACCGUACGUACAUAUGAUAUGGGUAUCUCGCCACCGACACAGCUACAAGGCAAUUAAGCCCGUGCUUUACAAACUUAAAAAAGCCCACACAAAUGCGCAUUUUAAUGCACUGGGUUUUGUUCUGUGUGUGUGUGUGUGUGUGUGUGUGUGUGUUUUAUCUUUCUUUCUUUUUAAAACGGUUAAAUUUAGCUACAAUUACCAUAGCAAUCAUUAUUAUACUCUAUCAAUAAGUAAUAUUCAAUGCUGAUUAGUAAUUAAAAAUGUUAGUUAGUUGCCACCGAGUGCAGAUGACAAAAAGAACUGGUAAUUUGACUUGAAAUAUUUUUAGAAUUUGUAAACUCACAACAAUACAUCUGAAUUAUUAUAAAAACCUGACAAAAAAUUGGUCAAAAAGUUUACAUUUUGAACUUCUUUCUUUUUUUCUUUUUUUUUUUUUUGUUUGCUGCGUUUCAACCAAUGGAUGAAACCUGGAUCAGUUAUUGUCCAGUCAAAUUUUGAGUAAACCCUACAUAGGAGGAUCGAAGAAACAGAACUAAACCUAAGAAAAAGGUUUCAGCAUAGUGUGGUAUGAUUAAGCCAACCAUUAAUUAGGUGAUGAUAUCUUCUAUCAUGAUCAUCUACCCCCCAAGAAAACGAAAUAAUAAAGUAGGAUAGCCUAGCCUACUAUCGUUUUCUCUCAAGAACAAUUCGAUCCAUUUGUUCCACUAAUGUUAAUACGAUGCAGAAAAAGAAAAAGAACACACAAAUUAAUUUCCUAAAUUUGAUCUGAUAUGAACAACUAGGUUUGGAUGAUCGGCUAAGAGUCACCAAAUUUGUCCUUUUGCUAGUAGAAUUAAAAAUUGAGCCGUCAAUGAUGAGAACUGAUGAUUAAAAUUCGCGAAUUUUUUAGUGAUCAGCAAUAUUGAGAAGAGAAUUAUUAAAAAGCAGUGAUCCGAUCUGAGAUGUGAGCUGAUCGAUAGAAUUGAGAAGAGAAAGAAAAGAGAGAGAAUUUAUGCAGAGCAGAGGGAGAUGCAGUGGAUAGCAGUAGUAGUGUAGCGGUGAGUGACUGACCUCUCCUGGUGGGCUUGGGCUUGGGCUUGCGCUUGACGAGGGGCGGCGGCUUGCGGUCGGCGGGAGCGACGGCGGCGCCGGGCGGGAGGGCCUGGUCGGGGGGGAAGAGGACGGCGUCGAUGCCCUGGACGGAGAUCCUGCCGUCGGUGUAGAUAUCGGGAUCGAACAAGUAGGCGGAGCCCUCGGCCUGGCCGAACUUGACGGAGCCGUCGGCCUCGCGGGCGACGACCUUGUGCGGGAGGCGCAGGGUGUCGUAGCGCACCUUGCCGAACCGGCGCACGGCAUUGUACAUGCUCUCCUCGGUCUGGUACUCGGGGAUGAGGUGGUAGUACACGAUCUGCUCGGGCGCGCCGGGCUCGCUCAGCUGGUCGGUGGUGAGGCGCGCCAUGGCCUCGUCGUUGGGGGCGAGCACGGUGAGGACGUAGCCCUCGGAGACGAGGCGGCCCAUCUCGGUGGCGAGGGAGGUGAGGUUGACGAGGAUGUCGGCGAGCUCGUUGUAGCCGCCGUAGAGGAGGAGGGUCUGGAUGAAGUCCUUCACCUGGCUCUCGCCGUCGAACCAGUGCUUGCCGGAGCCGGGGCCGGGGGCGGGGGCGGGGGCGAGCGAGGGGCCGGGGGCCAUGGCGUCGAAGAUGGGGAGGGCCGGGGGGGAGCCGGGGGGGACGGGGGGAGCGGGCUUCUUCAGGCGGUGGGUGACGCAGUGGAAGAGGAUUAGGGUUUGGAGGGAGCGCAGGUUGCGGGGCUCGAGGAGGAAGCGCUUGAACUCGGGGUCGAGGUCGCGGUCGAGGGCGUCGUUGCGGGGGGCGAAGACGGUGAGGUUGUGGCGCCCCACCGCGUCCUCUAGGGUUUGCAACAGGAGGGCCUUCUCCACCAGCUCCGCGAGCUCCGUGUAGUGGGAGUCGAGGAGCGCCACGAGCACGGAGUUGGAGUUGAUCCCAACCCCCGAUCCUCCUCCUCCGGACGACGACGACGACGACGACGGGGACGAAGAAGACGACGAGGAGGACGCUCUGAUUAACUCCGCCGCGGAUCGGGAUCGCCAUGGGCGACGACGUUCGAGGAGGAAACCCUAAACGAUGCCCCUUCUACAAUCUCUCUCUCUCUCUCUCUCUCUCUCUCUCUUCUCCCCCACUCCUACUCUAUUCUCUUCGCUUUUAGUUCAUUUGUCCUUUUCGUUGGUUUUAUUUUUAUUUUCCCCCUCCUCUUUUUGCGAAUUUUCUUUUUAUUAUUUUCCUUUCUCUCGAGGGAAAGAGAAGAGGAGGGGAAAACACGUGGCGAUUGGUGAUGCGUAAAAGACAUGUUGUGUUCCGGGCCCCACUUGCUCGUCCUCGUGAGUUAACAAGAAGCAGGCUCCGAAAUGACGCUUUUGCCCUCACGUACUGGGUUCAGGUGAAGAGCAUGUGCGAUGGGUAGAGUAGUAAUUUGAGUUCCUCCGUGUAAUUUCGCGGUAUUGGGUAUUAGGUGGGGGAUUUAUCGCGGUUUAUUAUUUGACAAAAAUGCCCUUCGUCGUGCGGACGAAGUUGCGAGUUGAGGGGAUGGGCAGUUUAGACAUUUUAGAGACGACCGACGCAGCGAUAGGAAAAUUAUGCGGGGGGCUUAUGGGGACGGAAGCUGAGCUGUCAUUGUUGCCUCUUAGCUUCGUUUUCAAUGUACGCAACCUUUUCAUUGCAAUUAUUUUUUUUUGUUUUGUUUUUGUAGUAUUUAUUGCUUGGUUUUUUUUUUUUUUUUUUUUGAGGAAUUGUAUUUGUCUAAUGAUACUUUAAAUUUUACAUUAAUUUUUGUAAUAUUAACAUGUUAACAAUAUUAUAUAAUGCAUUUAAUACAAAUGUGAAACAAAAACAAAAACAAAAUUCACUGCAACAUGAAAAAAAAAAAAGCAAUUUAGAGGACUUAACAAUACCAUAGUUUAAGGUAUUAAACUAUGAUAUAAGAUAAUUAGAAAAUAAAAAUAUUUCACAAUCUCACAACCACUUCUCUAUGGGUUGUUGACAUGAAAUCACAUGUGCAAGUCAAAUGAAAUUUCUUUAAAGAAACAUUAUAGAUUACUCCUAACAGUACCUUUUUUUUUUUUUUUUUUUUUUGAUAAAUUGUUUCGACCACUGAUAAUAUUAAAGCAAUUAAAAAGAGUUCGGGAGCAGCAUCAGCGUGACAUAAAUAAAAUAAAAUAAAAUAAAAUAAAAUAAUGGAGGGGAGAUGGGAGGGCGAUGUCUCGCCUGCCGAGAAAAUGCUCAGCUCGUCGCAGCGUCGGUGGUGCUUGUGUUGUCGAAAAUAUUCACCUUAUUACAUACGAAUAUAUUUUUCUUAUUCAAUCUUUAUUGUUAUGUUCUUUAUUAUGGUAUUUAUGCGUUGUUUUGGACCACUAUUUAACAUUUAUUGUUAUACGAUUGCAGCCCAGUAACGUGAAGAUGCAUAUGAAUUGAACACAAGCAUAUUCAUUCUUCGCCGUGCUCUAUUUAUAUAUAUAUAUAUAUAUAUAUAUAUAUAGAGAGAGAGAGAGAGAGAGAGAGAGAGAUGAGCUAGAAUAGUCUCAAAAGCACCAUAAAAGUGUUGCUUUUGAGUUUUUAGCCAUUGAAUGGAGAGAUGUGAGAUUGAGAUGAUAGUGGUAGGUAGGGAUGCAAACGGGGUGGAUCCGGGGGCGGGAGAGUUCCCCCACCUCCCGCUCCAUUUCUUAUCAGGGCGGGGCAGAUUCGGGGUGGGUUACUUUUUAUUUUAUUUUUGGCUCCCACUUACCGCUCCAUUCGGGGCGGAUCGGGGCGGGAGCCGGAUUUUUGACAGAUCGGGGCGGAUUGAAGGAAGAAAUGAGUCUCCCACCUCCCGCUCCAUUUACUUGGCGGAUCGGGGCGGAUUCGGGGCGGGUUAUAUUUUUUUAUAUUUUUUGUUCCCACUUACCACCCCAUUCGGGACGGAUCGGGGCGGAGCUCCACCAACCCGGAUCCAUUUGCAUCCCUAGGUAGGUGAUGGUAGGUGGUGGUAGGUGGAAUAGUGUUUAAUCCAAAGGCUAUUAGUAAUUAAGAAGUAGAUCCAAGGACUAAAAACUUAGGAACACCAAGGGGUUGGUCUUUCUAAAAAUAUUCUAGCUCAAUUAUAUAUAUAUAUUUAGCAAGACUUCUGUACUAUUAGAAGUACAGCAGUCUUUAUGCUCCUAACUUUCUAACCAACCAUCAAAUUUGAUGGGGGGUUAGAAUGAAAGGGGCAAGAGAUAUUGGAGAGAAGAAAAAUUCAAGGAGGAGGAAAAUUGAAACACCCAAUUUCUCUCCAAUAUCUCUUGCCCCUCUCAUUCUAACCACCCAUUGAACUUGAUGGGUGGUUAGAAAGUUAGGAGUAUAAGAACUGCUAUACUCCUAAUUGCACAGUAGCUCUACUAUAUAUAUAUAAUACAUAUAGAGAGAGAGAGAGUCCGGCUACUAUGCUAUUAAUAGCACGAAGCACUUGGUGCUACCAAGUUUUCCGCCGUUAGAUCUACCCUUUUGAUCAUUUUCACCCAUUAGAUCAUACUAUUCAACCAACCACCCACUCAACCCUAGGGGGCCCACAUCAUCCUAACCGCACAUCUAUUAAUUCAAUGGCUAAAAACUUGGUAGCAUCAAUGACUUGUGCUAUUAAUAGCAUAUUAGCCUAGUUCUAUAUAUAUAUAUAUAUAUAUAUAUAUAUAUAUAUAUAUAUAUAAGGUGAAUUUUUAUUAGCUUAUUUUAAAGAGCAAUUAUCAUUUUUCUUAUUUAAAACUUGUUGCCAGAGAAAACCAACUACAUGUGCACCGACAGAAAAAUGCAACAAGUAAAUAUGAUGUGAGGCAGUGGCCUUGCUUAGAGGUACAGCAAAGCUUAUUUCAGCAGUCCAAAUCAAGAGAUGGUACAGUCAAAUUAAACAAUUUAUUGAACCCAGGAUUUAUAAAAAGGAAUUGAAAUUUUAGUUUGAUAUGUUGGGCCCUCCUUAAACAUCUUUAACUUAUCUCUUGGUUUUGAAAUGGAAAAAGCUGGUUAGGAAACAAAACACCUAGUUUCAAAAAACAAAUAGAAAGGGACAAAAAGAGACAUUAAAAAAUGCACUCAAUUGGCAAGAUAUGGGCCCUCCAAGGGAGAACAUUAAAAAAAGAAACCAACAAAAUGAUACCCUUCUCCAAGAGAUGCUAAUAAAAGUACUAUAACCAUGCAAUGUACCAUUUUGCAUUUCCACUGUGUAUAGAGAUAAGACCCAACUAGAAGAGACACUGACCAUCAGGGACCAUGUAAUAAAAGUUGGACGUGCUGGAAAAUGAUCUUACCAGCAAAUCAAUAAGCAGCAAAGUCAAUAUUCUUGAAAUCAAAAUCAUGUUUCAUGCUUUUACCCGAUAAAUUCAGCGCAACACAGACUAUUGUUGCAGAAGGUCGAGAAUUAAAAUUAAAAAACAAAAAAGCAACAUUCAAGGUGCUGCCAUUCAUCUACAUCAAAUAAUUCUAUGAUCUGUAGUAGGAUAAUAUUUGUGUUAUUAGUUCCAUAAGUUAUUCUAUAAAAGUCAUAGGUAAUAUCUUAGUAAGCAUUAUAUAUGCCACGUGCUACUUACAAACAUAUUUAUCAGUCCAUAAUCCAUAGGUUACAAAAACAAACAAAGAAUCUUUUAAGAAAGCUCGUUAUAACUUAUCCAGCAGCCAGAUGCACCUCCGAGGCAUCCACGGUGAAGCAUUUAUGUAUAUUCGACAUUAACUGCUGAAGAUUAUGCCCUGAAAUAUUGCAAACAUAAUGGCGUACUUUGAUUAAUAGCUGGAUAUUUUCUAAUAUACAGUACAACAGAUGGAGAGAGCACAAAAAAAAUAGAAAAGGAAAAGUAAAAUCAUCAGCAUGUAUUCUGCAGUAAACUUGAUCAAAAGAUAAUAAAGAACUACAAAUGAAAUAAUAAGCAUCAAGAUCUAAGUGUUAUGUAAAUAAUUUAGCACAAAGCAUGUUGAAAGCACUUUAAUCAACAAUUCGUCAUUGCAAUGCCAUGAUAUAUAGAUAAUAGCUAGUCUGGUACAACUACUUGGGGCCUGUUAAGAUGCAUGGUUAUCUCAUUCAGUAUAACUCUAUAGUUACUAAAGGUGAUACAAUGGUUUAGUUUAUAGGGCCUAUAAAUCAAUUUUCCUCAAAAUCUAAGAAAUAACCUAAAGCGUGGAACUUACUAUGCUAAAAGGUCGGAACUAUUGAGAUUAAGAGUCUAAAAUCAAAUUACUUGGUUCUAAUCAAACAAGAAAAUCCCCAUAUCGCCCCUAAACAAUUGCCUACAGCAGACAUGGAUAUGACAUACAUUAGUUAUACCUACAAGGCAAACAAAACUCUUAGCAAUAUAUAUGAGUUCACAAGAUGACUGCUCGACAAUCUUAAGUUAGAACAAUACCCCUCACAUCCGAAGAGAAUAGCAACCAAAGCAUAAGUGAUGGACACACUCGUAAUAAAAACUGGGCCCAAUGACUUAUUAUUGCUAGUGGAUCCGCUAGCAAUAAAAAAUGUAACGAAGGGAGUAAGUGACAUCCCAAUAAUUCCACAUCGGAUAAUGUGGGAGAGUGUUAUAUGGGUUUAUAAGUGACGGAAACACUAGUAAUAAUAACUGAAUUUAAGCAUUUUAGGCCGAUGGUUUGUAUCCAACGAAUUAUUAUUGCUAGUGGGGCGAGUCGUUACAGGUCGGGUCGUUACAGUAAACUUCAAGAAUGUCACUGAAUGCAGGAUGACAACUAUGUUGAACAGGUAAAAGACUACCAAAAAAACACACGAAAAAAAAGAAGCAAGAAACAUACAUCAAAGAACCAACUGUGCCUCCUAAACUAAUUCUUAAAAUAAUCAGUCAUGUUAAACAUCUUUUCCCAACAUUAUCUUCCACAUAUCUGACUCAUCCAGAAAACACAUGUAGCAACCAGAACAUGUUCAAGAAGUCUUUUCGUACGUCUUAUAAUGCCUUCUAAUAUUUUAUUCCACGAUGACCGAUUGACAGUAGGAUGCGACAAUUUCUCACAAAUCACAAAGUUACUUAUGCCUUCAACCAAUCCACACCGCUCUCAAGCACCAAAUUGGCAAGUUAAUCAAUGGCAAUUGAUCUAGUCUCAAUCAAAGGUUAAAUGGCAAUGAUUUCCAUCACCUAGCAAAGGAUUUUAGUUAGGUUUGUAAACUAAAGAUCUCCUAGUUGUUGUCUCUCAACAUUAUGACGCAACAAGACAUUCCGUCCAAGCUCAUGUCCACCAUUACAGUUUCCUAACAUGAAGGGGUUCUUUGCAGCAAAACAUUGCUAACAACUUAAGAGAGAUGGCAGAUCAGUUGAGGGGAAAAAACUAGGUAAAAUUUGCAAAUAAAAUUAAGGACUCCCACUCAACAAAUCAGCCAGAUUUCAUAUUUGCAUGUUAACUAAGAAUCAGGUGUCACAACUUGAAUACACCUUAAGACUCAAUGAUUCAAGGGGGCACCUCCACUAUGAUACUCAUCAUAACUUAGAGCAUCAUAGAGAAGUAAAUCCUAAAGUUGUUAGUUUACAAUUUCUGAUUAAACAAGCAGAAACUAAUAUUGUAUACUUAAAACUAAAUAAAACUACAGGAACCAAUACCAGGGGCAUAUGAAGAGCUUUACUGAACACAUACUAGCUUAUUUUGGAGCAGAACUUGCAGCACAAGAAGCAGAUGGAGUAGCAUUGUUUAGAAGAGCAGUGCUAUUUGAUGUAACUCUCUCAUUACUUGCCUCCCUGGCAGAAUGAAUUUGACUGCCUAGCGGAGUAGAAGCCGUAUAUGGUCCAACAUUAUCUCUCGUUUCAAGCCGGUCCAUCAUGCGUGACACAGUAGCAAUUCCUGCAUUGACCUCUCUCCUGACUUCAGAACCAAAGUCAGAUAUAACACUGUUCCGAGAAAACAGUCUGUCUCUCCAUCCUCUUGUACUCUUUGUUAUAGAGUCUUUGUAUCUGAUAGCCGCAAAUUCAUGAUAAGGAAACUUGGAUUAUCAAUUAUUGUUCAUAUGCUUGUACUUUUAAACACAUGAAACUAGAGAUUACCUGAUUGAGACUGCAUUCAGGCGAGACUUUAAAGACUCUGAAAAGGAAUGCAGGUCGGAUGGUCCGGCUCUAUCUUGGCUUACAGGAGAAAAUUGCCCAGCAGAACUCCUGAAGUACAAAAAAUAAAAACGAAACAUAAAUAAGGCACAAAGUCCCAGAUAGGAAAAGCUAAUAGCUAAAUUCCACCUCAAGUCCUUUAACUUGUUUGCAAAUUUAACUUUAGUCCUCGAGCCAAAUGGUUGCCAUGUGUAUAGAGGUAACACCCACAUGGCAGCGACAUUGGACUUCUACUGGUCUCCUAACAGGCAUUGAAUGGACGGACUAUAAUGAAAAAUUUAGAAAGCAGCAUUCUUAAGCUUAAAAAUUGACUAAGAGAGAGAGAGUGGAAAAAAAAAAACAAAAAAAAAACUUAACAGCCUUAGAAACCUACAGGAGCAACUUAUUUGAAAAGAAAGUGCAAGCAUAUAUAGGCACACAUGGACACGAAAAUUACCUGUUACUAGCAAAAGUAGCACUAUUCAUGGAUGGAGAGGCUGCAGCUGGAUCAACUGGAGCAGAGUUUAUUGGCGAAGCUUCAUGUGGUGAACCCUCUUCCACCGCAGCAAAAGAAGCUGAUGGAUUAUCAGCAACUAUAGUGGGGACUGGCUCAUUUUCACUUCGAGCCGAAGAUGCAGAGACUGAACCAACAGAAGGAGCAUUUUGAUGUGCUGAGAAGACAAGGAGUUGUGGGCGACCAUGAACUGCUGAUGAUCUACCACGAUGGCCCUCUCUCCUAGCAGUGUGAGAUGUUCUGCGCAUUGCAGCUGCAGCAGCCAAGUGCUGAAUAAUACGCUCUUCAAAUUCAGCAUCAUCUGCCCCUACCGGUAACUGAAAGGAUAUAUUGGGCGGUGUUCAAUAAGAUUCUAUAUGUAUGUGUACAGUUCAAUAAGAUUCAUUAAUUAUAGAUCUAAUUACAUACAUGCUGCAGUUCAAAAUCACCCAGCACUGGAUGAUGAAUAAUGGUAGCAGUUCGUGAUCGGUUGACCCUAAAACUUCUUUCUUCUUCGACAGCCUCAAGUAGUUCUUGGCUGUUACAAUCAGCAGGAAGAACAAAAUCAAACAACAUAAUCAAAUAAAACAACUUUCAAUAAAUUUUUGAGCAGAUUAAACUAAACAGUCAAACCUGCCAGGGUCCUUCAAGCUGAUGGGCCGCCAGCACAUGGGGCACUGGGAGCUCCUUUGGCACCUGAAUCAACAUACAAACUAUUAUGGUGGAAAGUGCAUAGAAAAUCACAUAAAGAGAAGGAACAUAGAAGUUGGUAUAAAACCAUAUUAGAGAAUAGGGGAUCCAUGAGGAAAAGAAAUGAAAAUUUAAGAGGAAAGUGCUAGAGUUAUCAAGAAAUUAUAAUAACAAAGACAUUUUCAGCCGUUAAAUUCAGUUAACUUUCUGGAUGAAGCACUAAAAAUCCAUAACUAACAGCAAACGUUAAUCCCAUCCUCGAAGACAAGCAAAUAAAUUUGAAGAACUAAGGUAACUCGGACAUCUCAUGUCACCAGAAUUUCUCCACAGCAAACUAGAAAUGCCUAGAAUGAAACUGCCAUCAAAUACAAAAGAAAAAGGCCACAGUGAGGCAGAGAAUACCAUUCGAGAAUGCAUUGCAGAUGAAACUCAUGCUUGCAACUAGUCACCUGGGGGAUCAGCAAAAUGUUUGCAAUUCACGAACAAUCUAAUUUAAAUAUCAGAAAGGGGGAAACAUAAUGAUAAAAAUUGAAGUAGAACUCGAAAGAAACCACACCGUUGAGGGAUCACUCUCGCAGAACUCUUCGAGACAAAUGCUGCAAGCAUCAUCACAGGCAUCUUGAAUGCCCCCUUCGACAAAGGCGGCGGCCGACGACAAGUGGCUCUCCAUCUUCGCGGUCUCCUCCAUCCUAGGAUUCGCCCCUACCUCAUAAUAUUAUUUCCAAGAUAAAUCGACUUAGACAAGGAAAUAAACAAAACUAAACAUAGAAUUGGUGGAAGGAAUCAUACUUAGAUGUUAUAUCCCAAAAACGACCAAGCAAAUUAAUCAACAAACCCAACAAACAUCCGCCGAACUCGAUCAAAAGAAUAAAAGCGGCGCCUUUACCAAAGAAGAAUAACGCAGCGGUACUAAGUUAAACCCUGAAAAUCGAACGUGCACACCAAUCGACACGUACGCGGACGGCGAGGGGGAAUAAUCUAGGAAAUUACACAAACUGAAAUAAAGAAACACCAAAUCGAUUGAGCGCCGGGAAGAAGGGGAAAUAGCAAGCGAUCGUGAACAAAAACUGAUACUAAAAACGAAGGAGAAAAGGAAAAAUAUCACGAAAUGGAGGGGAGAAAGGAGAUCGACGCGUACCUUCGAGGGAUUGAACAAGGUUUAGGGUUAAAGGAUCGGAUGAUCGGGAUCUUUCAAGGGAUGCGGAGCUCGGAAUCCAUUGAAGCGGCAACGAUGCGAAGCGAGGAGAGGGGAAAAGGGGACCCCGUCUCUCUCUCUCCCCCCUCUCUCUCUCUCUCUCUCUUCUUCGUCGAAAUGGUAUGGGGGAUUUGUUCGCGUUUUUUUUUGUGGUCGUAACCCUAAUUAUUCCUCUGCCGUUCGGAGGGAGAUCACGACCACUGUUGGUAUACGGCGGGAAAAAAGUCGGCUAGACCCGGUCUAUCACGUCUACCACGGACCGCAGUUGACCUUGGCAAACGGGCCUGUUUAUGGACCGGGCCUAAUUUGGGCCGAGUUUUAUUGUUUUUUUGAUGUUUGAACCCGACCCGGUUUGAAAUUUGGGUCGCUAAUUUAGGCUCGCAACUGGUCCAAAAUGACCCAGGCCAUUAUACGACCUGAUCAAGCAUGCCCUACGGCGCGUGAUUGGUGCUAGGGGUGGAAAUGAGCCAAGCUUGAGCGAGCUUAUCUUAACUCAAGAUUGGCUUGAAAUUAAUUUCAAAAUUAAAUUUAAGCUCAAGCUCGGUUUGAAUUAAUUGGAGCCGAGGUCAAGCGAGCCCAAUUUCGAUUUGAGCAAGCUUGAGCCCUAAACGAGCUGCUUGAAAUUCUUAACAUUACGCAAUGUAUAAUCUAAUUUUUAGAUAAAUAUGUCUAAUAGUUUAACAUACAAAAUAAAACGUAUGAAUACAAAAUUAUAUAUGAAGAAAAAAAAUUAGAGAAAUCAAUUAUGCGACCAAAAUGGAAAAGAGGGGGGAGAGAGAGUAAUUAGAAUAGGGAUUUGCUUGUUUGGUUUUAUAGGCCAGCAAAUAUGCCCAAUAAUCAAAAUUCUAUAUAAAUAUAAUUAAAAUAAAUAAUAUAAAUUAUAUAUUAUAUAUAAUUAUUAAUUGGGCCGGAAUGCUUGUAAAUAGCAUUAGCAUUAGACGAUGAGAAAAUACCUUAUUUGUUUCCGUAUGUAAUAUUGCGUUCCGCAUAUUGCAGUUAGUCGGUUACGAUAUAUUUUCUGUGAUUCCAUCGAAAAACGCAGAAGCAUAUCCCUACACGCUCUCCCUACAUGCUUUUUCUCAACUCUAUUCUGUCUAAUAGCGUUAGAUCCAUCUCAAUACCAAACUAAGCAUAAGUCGUUGGUGUUAUUAAGUUUUUGGGCGGUGAAGAUGAUAGUAGUCCUUAUGGCACACACACGAGCUUUUCGAGCCUAAUUCGAGUGAGCCUGGUAAUGUAUCAAGCUCUGCUUGAAAUAAAAAAAAAAUAAAAAAUAAAAAAAAAUUGCUUAAGCUCGAUUUAUUUAAUUCCGAAUCGAGCGCGAGUGAGCUGAAUACCGAGCUGGCUUACUCAUUCGCCGGCCCUUGUUGGUGUUGAGGGUGAGGUAGAGCAUAUACAAAUAUACUUUUCUAUCCCCCGUGGGACAGUCAACCCCUAAGAACUCUUUUAUUGUUACCGGCCUUUAUCGUAUAAAAUGAAAAGUUUCAAUUGGAUUCCAGCAGAAUCUGAGCUGACAGAAUUUAAGCCGAGUUAUUUUUCGGAUGGUUUAAUUGAACCUUCAAUAUAGGAGUAUGCGAUAGUCCAAUCCCCAACUUUUUACUUGCACCGUACUAGACAAUGGUGGUGUGUUAUAAGUACCUUAUUUAAAAAGAGAUAAUAUAUCAAAAGAAACCGACUGUUCCUAGAGCAGAUGGUAAUGGACUUGAUAGUUGGUAUCCGAGAUCCCAAGUUCAAAUUUUAGUUAAUUCACAUUUACAAUUAAAUUUAUUUCUAAAUAAAAUAAACGAAACAAAAAAAAUGAAAAUAAUAUAUCGAAAGAGACCAACUCCUACCACUGUUUUAUUCUGCGAGUCCGACUAAGACUAGUGCUAUUAGAAAUAUUUUACUAUAAUUUUUAUUUUUCUUGUUUUACUAAUUUUACAGCAAGAAUCAAAAAUUAUUAUUAUUAUUAUUAUUAUUAUUACAAUAAAUAGGCCCCAAAAGUCAUAAUUUUUGGUGUGACGCUGUUGACUGGGCAAAUGGCUGGUUUGACUCAUUUAAAGCUUCUACAUACGAGCUCAUUGAAUAGUGUUCCCACGAGCCACUGCUCCAUGUCAGAUCUGUGUACAAUUCCAUUGGCUUUUUGUUCAUAAAGUGAUCGUACAAGUGCAGCAGAAUUUUCUUCGUUUGGGAGUAAUCAGAUUUGGUUUGGCAUGUGAUUAGAAUUUGAUGCCCAAAAUAGACAAAAGGGCAUUUACAAAAGGAGUAGUUGAUUCGAUGUUGUCUUAGUUUGGAUUUGAUGCUUAAACAUAUUUUAUUCUACAUAUCUCGAUUGGAUGCUAAAAAAUAUUUUAUUCUACGCAUUUUUUUUAAAACAAAACAUAAUAUUUGAUGAGUAGAAAAAAUAAUUAAAUGCCCAGUAUUGUAUAUUCAGUCUUCAAACUCAAUUUUUUAAAAUUAUCCCUAACACAAUUCUCUAAAAGUUUUAAGUUUCAAGUUCACAUUUCUAACUUAGUUUAUUUUAAAAAAUAAAAUAAGUAACUUGGCUACUUUUAUCUAAAAAGAUAAUGAUUAAAAUUGGCUGGGAAUAAUUUUUUCUCUAAUUUUUACUCAAAAAAAAAGAAUUAAAAAAAUUAAGUUCUUUAACUUGCAAUCACAAUAAAAGAAUUUUCGUACCAACUCAUAUCAAACCAUUUUAGCGUUCAGAUUAAGAUUGGCUAUGUUGUCACCUGAAAGGGACAAUAAGAACACCAACAUCACCAACGCAUAUCAAUUAAGACUUACAUGGACAUUUGCAAUAUUUCCAGCUUUAUAGAAAUAUAACAAUAUGAUUCUUCGAUGACUUUUUUUUUUCAUGAUUCUGUGGACAUGGAUGUAAUAGAUUCGUUCAGAAAAUGUUCAUUUGAUCAUCUAAAUUGAAAGCACAAGUUUGGUACGUAAACUUCUUUGAUAAUAGUCGCAGACUUAUAUAAACUAUAAUCCUUAUCCACAAUUCAUAUCACAAAAAGACCGACCGUUUCUAGAGUAAGUGAAAAAAGAUUUGGUGGUUGGUAUUCGAGACCCAAAUUCGAAUGAUAAAUGAUUCACAUUUCUAGCUAAGCUUAUUUCUAAAUAAAAUAAACGAAACGAAAAAAUUGCUACCUAUUUCUAUAUAUAUAUAUAUAUAUAUAUAUAUAUAUAUAUAUACCACAACGAGUGAAAAUUGUAAGAAAAAAAACAGAAUGUGGGGCCUAAAAUGUGUAUAAUGCAGGCCCACAAAAAUUUAGUCUAAUCAUGCAUAGUAUAAAUUUACAAACACACAAACAAAUUACUCAGAAUUUUUUUGCAAUCUGUUGCAUUUCUCUUAACUUUAUUAUCCAUACGAUGAUUUAGAGCUUGUGUAUCUCGUACAUAGACACCUUUAGAUCACACGAUUAUUCACUCAGAUGUAAUAAAAAUUUCUAUACACACAAUCGAAAUGACGAAUAAUAAGAUAAAAUAUACAAUUAUGGAGAUGAGAAUUGAUAAGAUAUUUUGCCAAAAUAAAUUUUACUAUUAUCAAAACAGAGAAAUAUAACUAUUUUGAUAAUAUUAAAAUCUAUGUUUUUUGACAACAUUAAUUUCCAUUUAGAAUAGAAAGAUUUUUUUUUUUUUGUGAGGAGCAAAAACCUCAAGGAAAAAAAAAAAAAAGAAAAAAAAAUCCGAAACGAAACCGUUACCGUUCGUCCUCCACCUGCGACGGGCUCCGCCAGAACCCGGCGCCGUAGAAUCUCUUCCACAUCUCCUUCUCGGUUUCGGACGCCUCCUCCUCCGCCCCCGUCGCCGCCUCCGCUUGGUGGAGGUGGAGAUAGAACUCGACCCCGUCCUUCUCCGCCGCCGCGGCCGCGUCGCCUCCGCCUCUGCGUUCGGGGGCGGCGGCGAGGAGCCCCGGCGCUCUGGCCCUCCUCCGCCGCGCCGCCCUCGCCCUCAUCGCGCGGCGGCAGAGCCCCGCGGGGAGCCUCACCACGGCGGUGACGACGAGGUCGACCACCGCGCAGGGGCAGCAGCAGCACACCGCCGCGCACCCCGCCGCCGUCCCCCCCGCCGCCUCCCCGAUCCGCCGCCGCGCGCUCGGCCGCGGCCCCGCCACCGCCGCCUCCUUCAGUAUCACCGGUUGCCUCCUCCUCGCCUGCACCGCCGCCGCCGCCGCCGACGACGACGACGACGACGACGCCGCGGGGGCCCCCCUUCGCCCCAUCAGAUGCCGCGCGAUCCCAUCGUCGAGAUUGAAAGAGGGGAAAAGUGGAAGGGUUUCGAUCGAUCCUUAGAACCCGGAAGAACCGUCGCGAAGAUUCCGGAACGAUCCGCGAGAUCGUCGCUGAGAAGGCGAGAACGCACGAGAGGGAAACGGAAGCCGUUACCGGAAACGGGAUUUGGUUGGAUUGUGUCGAACGCUGCUUCUCGCGUCUUUUGCGUUCCAAAGAAGAGACCAUAAUUAUUGCAUAGACCGUGGUCCGUACACCGCAUAUUUCAAAAACUUUUAAUCUAUAGAGCAUAAAAUUUGUAACUCUUUGCACCAAAAAUAACCGUCCCUAAAGUAAGUCGCAAAAGGCUUAAUGGUUCAUACCCGAGAUCCACAGUUCGAAUCUUAAUUGAUUCACAUUUUUUGCUAAAUUUAUUUCUAAAUGAAAUAAACGAUGCGGGUAGCGUCCAAUGAAAAUUCCCGAAAUUCUAUAGAAUUAAAACUUUAAUUUUAUUUAUUAAAAUUUAAAACUAUUUGGUUCUGUAAGUUAAUAAGAAUUUAAGUAAUUUAAAAGAAUCUGACUUCAUAAAAUGACUUUCAUCCUUUUCACAUAAUUUUAAAUCGAAUUGGUGAGGUCAUUUGCUAUUUAGUUAAUUAUUAUUUACAAAAAUAGCUAUAAAAUCUCUCAAAUUAUGUAAAUCAUAAUAAAAUUAUAUUAAAAUAAGUUUUCAUAAUUUACCAAACAAGGCAAAUAGAAUAGAAUUUUGUGGACCUCCAAUUUAGAUUUAGUACCAAAACGAGAAUUAAAAAUUUGUAUUGUAAAGUAACAAUAAUUCUAUACCCAGAUAGAAAAUAUAUACUAAUAUGGAUAUGGUCGCAUCAGAUGCAAAGUAAAAUUAUGAACCGCUCCUCUUCCUUACCAUUUCGCCGGAAUCCGACAACUCCUUCACUAUGUAGAUCUUAAAAUCAUUUGCAUAAUGAAAACAGUGAAGUUAGUUGUUUAGAUAAAGACAUCUCUAAUAAAAUACUGGUGGACGACCUAUAUAAUGAUUUAGUUUCUCACUAUGACUAAAAAAUUAGACAUAAGCUCUGAUAAAAAAAAUUAACAGUAUAAAAAAUCAUCAAAUGAAAAUUCUAGCUUAAUAUGUAGGAUCAAAUCGAGAGGAAUAGAGGUGCCAACCGCGGCAAAGUUGCCGAUUUUAACACACUUUUUACAGACCAGUAUUGUCUAAGUAAUGAAAUUAAUUUUUAAAAUAAAAUAUAAUAUAUCUGCGGACUUUGUAGAAAUUUUGCUCUCGGUCUAUAGAUUUUUUUCCAACGCAGAAAUUACCAGGAAAAAGGGUGUGGGCCCGCCGGCCCUGCUGACGUAAGAAUUACGUGGCACCAAUGGCCCUGAGGGCUCCACGUGUCGAAUCUGGUUCAAUUGGCAACAACUAGGAGUUCCGUUGGGCUGGGCCGUACUAGGCCCGAACUACAACCUUGAUUUUAGAUCUAAAUAAAUACAGUGCGGAAACUUUUUUUUUUUUUUCCUGAUUCCAAAAAGCCAAUAGAAAGCUUAGAAAUACGCAAUCAAUUCACUUAAAGUAUACAGAUACAGCACCCACGAGUUUCGAUUGUGACUUGAUCCAAUUAGCCUCAUGCCACUUCGAACAUGACUCCGCCCACCCAGUCUCAUGCAUUUCGAACACGACUCGACCCAACAUGACCUCCCGCCACAGGGCGGGAUGCUGGCCCAUUUAAGCCAACAAAUCACACCACUUUAAUUAUAUCUUGUCAAUCAAAUAUUAUUUAAACUGAAAAAUAUGAUAAAAAUAUUUGUUUAUAAAUUAUGAUAGGAUAGAUAAAUUAUAAGAAAAGAUUAUGAUUGGUUGGGACACGCCGCGUAGAAUAUGUGAAUGACAUAUUGUAGAUUUUUUUCUGCAAAGCAAGGCUUGCGUCUUUCCCGGUAUUAAUCUUAUUUUGUGGUUCAGCGAGUCUAGAAUGUAGCAGGACUCAAUAUAGUGUCUGAUCGAAGUGGGAGGGGCUCAAAAAUGAACUUAUAUUUUAAAUCUUCUGCAGAGCAAAUACGUUAUAGGAUUAUAUAAUAAUAAUGUCCAUUUUAAUAUUAUCCUAGCGCAAGUGGCAAAUGGCUUGGUGGUUGAAAUCCGAAAUUCUAAGUUCGAAUCCUAGUUGAUUCACAUUUCCAGCUAAGUUUAUUUAUAAAUGAAAUAAGCAAAGCAGGUAGAAUGCUACUUAUCUCUAAGAAAAAUAAUAAGGAAUAAAUUUUUUUAAAAUAAAGUUAUUUG